ACACAAGAGGCUGUCACAACGACAGCAAACCGGAUUUAUUAACAUUUAUUUGUGUCCUGGCAAUAUCACAAGAACCAUUACUGAUGAAUGAUGAAAGUGAAAAUCGUCAAUAUCAAAUUUGACCUCCAUUUUGUCAUCAUUAUCAACAUAUUAAAAUUUGAAAAGCUUAGAUUGAAUGGUUCAUGAGUAAAUGCAACAACGUGAAUGGAAAUGCCAUUUUACGAUCUUUCAAGAACCAUAACUCC
rnacentral:lncRNA from 1 species